rnacentral:rRNA from 1 species
GGGGGUCCGACUAAGCCAUGCGAGUCAUGGGGCGCCUCGCGCGCACCGGCGGACGGCUCAGUAACACGUCGGUAACCUACCCUCGGGAGGGGGAUAACCCCGGGAAACUGGGGCUAAUCCCCCAUAGGUCUGAGGUACUGGAAGGUCCUCAGGCCGAAAGGGACUCUGUCCGCCCGAGGAUGGGCCGGCGGCCGAUUAGGUAGUUGGUGGGGUAACGGCCCACCAAGCCUAAGAUCGGUACGGGCCAUGAGAGUGGGAGCCCGGAGAUGGACACUGAGACAAGGGUCCAGGCCCUACGGGGCGCAGCAGGCGCGAAACCUCCGCAAUGCGGGAAACCGCGACGGGGGGACCCCCAGUGCCGUGGCAUCGCCACGGCUUUUCCGGAGUGUAAGGAGCUCCGGGAAUAAGGGCUGGGCAAGGCCGGUGGCAGCCGCCGCGGUAAUACCGGCGGCCCGAGUGGUGGCCACUAUUAUUGGGCCUAAAGCGUCCGUAGCCGGGCCCGUAAGUCCCUGGCGAAAUCUCACGGCUCAACCGUGGGGCUCGCUGGGGAUACUGCGGGCCUUGGGACCGGGAGAGGCGGAGGGUACCCCUGGGGUAGGGGUGAAAUCCUAUAAUCCCAGGGGGACCGCCAGUGGCGAAGGCGCUCCGCUGGAACGGGUCCGACGGUGAGGGACGAAGGCCAGGGGAGCAAACCGGAUUAGAUACCCGGGUAGUCCUGGCUGUAAAGGAUGCGGGCUAGGUGUCGGGUGAGCUUCGGGCUCGCCCGGUGCCGGAGGGAAGCCGUUAAGCCCGCCGCCUGGGGAGUACGGCCGCAAGGCUGAAACUUAAAGGAAUUGGCGGGGGAGCACCACAAGGGGUGGAGCGUGCGGUUUAAUUGGAUUCAACGCCGGGAACCUCACCGGGGGCGACGGCAGGAUGAAGGCCAGGCUGAAGGUCUUGCCGGACACGCCGAGAGGAGGUGCAUGGCCGCCGUCAGCUCGUACCGUGAGGCGUCCACUUAAGUGUGGUAACGAGCGAGACCCGCGCCCCCAGUUGCCAGUCCUCCCCGCUGGGGAGGAGGCACUCUGGGGGGACCGCCGGCGAUAAGCCGGAGGAAGGAGCGGGCGACGGUAGGUCAGUAUGCCCCGAAACCCCCGGGCUACACGCGCGCUACAAUGGGCGGGACAAUGGGAUCCGACCCCGAAAGGGGAAGGGAAUCCCCUAAACCCGCCCCCAGUUCGGAUUGCGGGCUGCAACUCGCCCGCAUGAAGCUGGAAUCCCUAGUACCCGCGUGUCAUCAUCGCGCGGCGAAUACGUCCCUGCUCCUUGCACACACCGCCCGUCACUCCACCCGAGCGGGGUCCGGGUGAGGCUUGGUCUCCCUUCGGGGAGGCCGGGUCGAGCCCGGGCUCCUGAGGG